UACGGGGGGGGCAAGCGUUUGUUCGGAAUUACUGGGCGUAAAGGGCCAGUAGGCGGCCAACUAAGUCGGAUGUGAAAUCCCCAGGCUCAACUUGGGAACUGCAUCCGAUACUGGAUGGCUUGAAUUCGGGAGAGGGAUGCAGAAUUCCAGGUGUAGCGGUGAAAAUGCGUAGAUAUCUGGAGGAACACCGGUGGCGAAGGCGGCAUCCUGGACCGGCAUUGACGCUGAGGCGCGAAAGCCAGGGGAGCAAAGCGGG
rnacentral:rRNA from 1 species